rnacentral:misc_RNA from 1 species
GAUGAAGAACGCAGCGAAAUGCGAUAAGUAAUGUGAAUUGCAGAAUUCAGUGAAUCAUCGAAUCUUUGAACGCACAUUGCGCCCGCCAGUAUUCUGGCGGGCAUGCCUGUCCGAGCGUCAUUUCAACCCUCGAACCCCUCCGGGGGUCGGCGUUGGGGAUCGGCCCUUUACGGGGCCGGCCCCGAAAUACAGUGGCGGUCUCGCCGCAGCCUCUCCUGCGCAGUAGUUUGCACACUCGCAUCGGGAGCGCGGCGCGUCCACAGCCGUUAAACACCCCAAACUUCUGAAAUGUUGACCUCGGAUCAGGUAGGAAUACCCGCUGAACUUAAGCAUAUCAAUAAGCGGAGGA